rnacentral:rRNA from 1 species
CAGGCCUAACACAUGCAAGUCGAACGGUAGUAGCAAUACUAUAGUGGCAAACGGGUGCGUAACGCGUAAGCAACCUGCCUCAAACUGGGGGAUAGCCCGGCGAAAGCUGGGGUAAACCCGCACGGUCCUAUGGAGUCACCUGGCUUUUUAGGUAAACAUUCAUGGGUUUGAGAGGGGCUUGCGUCUGAUUAGCUAGUUGGUUGGGGUAACGGCUCACCAAGGCGAUGAUCAGUAGGGGUUCUGAGAGGAUUGGCCCCCACAUGGGUACUGAGAUACGGACCCAACUCCUACGGGAGGCAGCAGUAGGGAAUAUUGGGCAAUGGGCGAGAGCCUGACCCAGCCAUGCCGCGUGCAGGAAGAAGGCUUUCUGAGUCGUAAACUGCUUUUGAUAGGGAAGAAUAACCAGUACGUGUACUGGGAUGACGGUACCUACAGAAUAAGCACCGGCUAACUCCGUGCCAGCAGCCGCGGUAAU